AAGCUUGGCAGGCUGUCUGGCUUAAGGAAACGAGAGCUUUCAUCCUCUCUGUCUCUUGCUAGCCCUGGCCUGGUCAUUUUUUCUCUGAGAAGACCUGUCUGGUUUUGUCGAUUGUCAAGCUUGAACUCGAUACACUGGUGCUGAAACCCGGGACAUGGAAGUACUGCCUCAUGGAGUCCUCUCAGUUGGUGAGAUCCUCCAGUCCCUCGCCAGCCUACAUCUGAGCCACCAACAAUCCUGAGCUGUGCUACGACCAGGAUCGCCGGUUAUUUGAGGGCUCAAGCAGAGGACCGGCAUGCGGAAGUGCCCUCUGACGCAGGUGCAGCCGUGGCAUCUAGGCCGGCCUGCAGGCUGCCCCCGACCAAACCAGAGCAUACUGGAUACCGGGGAGGCGGAGCCGGGGCCAACUUCAUCAGCUCCAUCGUCAGGAUGGGGGUCAUCCUCAGGGGAUUUCCCGAAGGGGAUUUCCAUCUGGAGCAGUCGCGAGACGAAACCCUCAAGCACGCCUUCGACCAAGUGAGAGUGAUCGAUGGUCAACAACUCUGGCCGAAUGUAGCACUUUCGCAUACCUAUUUCGCAAUUAUAAACGCAUGAUUGUAUAGAGUGAUGCAGGACACUCAAACAAAGGAAGAUACAACCCAGCUCUUAAUACCGUAGAGCCGGCGGUUAUCAUGAUAGAA